GACGAACGCUGGCGGCGUGCUUAACACAUGCAAGUCGAGCGGAAAGGCCUUUCGGGGUACUCGAGCGGCGAACGGGUGAGUAACACGUGAGUAACCUGCCCCAGACUUUGGGAUAACCCUCGGAAACGGGGGCGUAAUACCGGAUACGACACUUCAUCGCAUGGUGUGAGUGUGGAAAGUUUUUCGGUUUGGGUAGUGGGCGUCGCGGCCUAUCAGCUUGUUGGUGGGGUGGAUGGCCUACCAAGGCGACGACGGGAGGCCGGCCUGAGAGGGCGACCGGCCACACUGGGACUGAGACACGGCCC
rnacentral:rRNA from 1 species